UACGGAGGGUGCAAGCGUUAUCCGGAUUCACUGGGUUUAAAGGGUGCGUAGGUGGGUUGGUAAGUCAGUGGUGAAAUCUCCGAGCUUAACUCGGAAACUGCCAUUGAUACUAUUAGUCUUGAAUACUGUGGAGGUGAGCGGAAUGUGUCAUGUAGCGGUGAAAUGCUUAGAGAUGACACAGAACACCAUUGCGAAGGCAGCUCACUACGCAGUGAUUGACGCUGAGGCACGAAAGCGUGGGGAUCAAACAGG
rnacentral:rRNA from 1 species